CGGUGAAUACGUUCCCGGACCUUGUACACACCGCCCGUCAAGCCAUGGAAGCCGGGGGUACCCAAAGCCAGUGUCCUAACCGUAAGGAGGGAGCUGUUUAAGGUAAAACCGGUGACUGGGGCU
rnacentral:rRNA from 1 species